rnacentral:rRNA from 1 species
UGGGGAAUAUUGGGCAAUGGGCGCAAGCCUGACCCAGCAACGCCGCGUGAAGGAAGAAGGCUUUCGGGUUGUAAACUUCUUUUCUGGGGGACGAACAAAUGACGGUACCCCAGGAAUAAGCCACGGCUAACUACGUGCCAGCAGCCGCGGUAAUACGUAGGUGGCAAGCGUUAUCCGGAUUUAUUGGGUGUAAAGGGCGUGUAGGCGGGAAAGCAAGUCAGAUGUGAAAACUCAGGGCUCAACCCUGAGCCUGCAUUUGAAACUGUUUUUCUUGAGUGCUGGAGAGGCAAUCGGAAUUCCGUG